CGCGAAAGUCCCGAAAGGGAUUAGUAGAGUGGCAAACGGGUGCACGGCACGUGGGUGACCUGCCUUCGAGUGGGGGACAACGUAACGAAAGGGACGCUAAUACCGCAUGACAUCCUGCCUUUGAACAGGGGGAGAUCAAAGCUGGGGAUCGCACGACCAAGCGCUCAAAGAGGGGCCCGCGCCUGAUUAGCUAGUUGGUGGGGUAACGGCUCACCAAGGCAACGAUCAGUAUCCGGCCUGAGAGGGCGGACGGACACACUGGGACUGAGACACGGCCCAGACUCCGACGGGAGGCAGCAGUGGGGAAUUGUUCGCAAUGGGCGCAAGCCUGACGACGCAACGCCGCGUGGAGGAUGAAGACCUUCGGGUCGUAAACUCCUUUCGAUCGAGACGAACGGUUUCCGGGUGAACAAUCCGGAAGAGUGACGGUACCGAGAGAAGAAGCCCCGGCUAACUCCGUGCCAGCAGCCGCGGUAAUACGGGGGGGGCAAGCGUUGUUCGGAAUUACUGGGCGUAAAGGGCUCGUAGGCGGCCAACUAAGUCAGACGUGAAAUCCCCAGGCUUAACCUGGGAACUGCGUCUGAUACUGGAUGGCUUGAGAUUGGGAGAGGGAUGCGGAAUUCCAGGUGUAGCGGUGAAAUGCGUAGAUAUCUGGAGGAACACCGGUGGCGAAGGAGACAUCCUGGACCAACACUGACGCUGAGGAGCGAAAGCCAGGGGAGCAAACGGGAUUAGAUACCCCGGUAGUCCUGGCCCUAAACGAUGAAUGCUAGGUGUGGCGGGUAUCGAUCCCUGCCGUGCCGAAGCUAACGCAUUAAGCAUUCCGCC
rnacentral:rRNA from 1 species